CAACAUCCUCAAAGGCAUCUAAUUGUUCAGGACAUACUGAGUAUCUGCACUUACAGAAAUCAAGCCUCAAGUGGAACUCCCCUGAAAGCAAGGCACCGGGAAGCCAAGAUUAGUUUUCAGAAAUUUCAAGGUGAGAUCAGUAUCUGGAACCAUGAUGCAAUUUAUGCUGUUAUCAUUUCAUGAACUUCAGCAAAUCUGCUCCUGAUAAUGUAUUAUAAUAAUACUGAUGAUCAGAACUGGAUUUGAAAAUUCAUGAAGACUGACGUCAACUGCCACUGUCUGUCUGACCAGAUCAGAAAAUGAAAACAACAGUUACUGGCAUCACAGUUACUGGCAUCUAGUGUCAGAGGAGCUCCAACUCAAUUUUGCACACAGUCCCUCAAGACCAUGUCACAAACACACGUCUCUCCAUCACACCUGCUGUACAGUGUGAUUGCUCGUUCCUGCCCUAUCUGCUUUUUACAGAAGAGUGGGCUCAGACCUGGUUUCACGCUGGCACAGCAAAUUGUGGCACAGCCCUUUGGGAUCUCAA